rnacentral:misc_RNA from 1 species
CUAAAACAAUAAUAAUAAAUAACAAUUGAUACAAUUGUUAGUCAGAGUAGUACCCAGAGCGCACCUUUCCCAGUCGGUCGUUAGCCGCGAUGGGCAGCAGAUCCAGAGUUGCGGACGUGCUGCUCAUCCCGAUGACCAGGGUGUACCACGAGGACGUCAUCAACAGUUGGCACCCCAUCUUGGCUAAGACCUUAAAUCGACAUCACGCAAGAUACCAAUGCAUUUUGAGUCCAGAAGACAAAAGAAAAAAUACAUCAUAUCUUUUGCGAUAGUACUCUUUUUAUGAUCUUUGCAUGAAAUAUAAUUAAUAUGUGGUAGAUAUAUAAAACUGAGGUAGGGCACAGCAGGAACUUUCCUGUUCAAAAUAUGGAGCAGCCCGACUGGAGUAGUGGUCCCUAACAUUACAGAAGAAAUAAUACAGUUUUCAAGCAGUGUUGUGUGCCUGUUGUUGUGUAAGGUGACCAGAGCUCUUGGGGGAAUUGGCGAUAAAUUCGGCAACGCACUUGAGAUGCUUCUGGUGUUGCAGACGUCUAUAAGCUACGGUGAUCACUUACCAUCAGGUGAACCGUACGCUUGUUUGCUGACCUAGUUAUGUUAUAUAUAUAUGCUAGCGACCCGCCUGGGUUUCGCACGGGUGCAAAAACUAUCAAUGUUCCUCUACUAUAUUACGCAUGUAUUAUACAUAUAUAACCCUUUCUCUGGAAUCACUAUAUUUCCUUAAGAAUACCGCAUCAAAAUCCGUUGCGUAGUUUUAAAGAUAAGAUAAAAGAUGUUUUAUACUUACUGUAUAAUGAUAAAUAUAUAUACCUACUAAAAAUAAAAUUAUAUUCAUUUUUAUGUUUUAAUUAUUCGUUAUUUUUUUCUUUUAUUUUCUUAUUUCACAGCUCGUAACUAUGAGUCAAGUAGUACAAAAAUUAUAGUUAUUUGCGAUUUGUUUUUAAAUAUGAAGUAAGGUUAUUCAUAAUAACCUUAAAACUUCUU